GACAGAGGUGCCGAGCGUUAGGCGGAAUCACUGGGCUUAAAGCGUGUGUAGGCGGGUCGUUAAGUGUCUUGUGAAAUCCCACCGCUCAACGGUGGAACCGCUGGGCAUACUGGCGAUCUUGAGCCACUACGGGCGGAGCGGAACAAGGCGUGGAGCGGUGAAAUGCGUAGAUAUCGCUUGGAACGCCGACGGUGAAAACAGCUCGCUGGGGGUGUGCUGACGCUGAGACACGAAGCCAGGGGAGCGAACGGG
rnacentral:rRNA from 1 species